rnacentral:rRNA from 1 species
CACGUAGGGGGCGAGCGUUGUCCGGAUUUAUUGGGCGUAAAGAGCUCGUAGGCGGCUCGGUAAGUCGGGUGUGAAAACUCGGGGCUCAACCCCGAGACGCCACUCGAUACUGCCAUGGCUAGAGUCCGGUAGGGGAGCGUGGAAUUCCUGGUGUAGCGGUGAAAUGCGCAGAUAUCAGGAGGAACACCGGUGGCGAAGGCGGCGCUCUGGGCCGGCACUGACGCUGAGGAGCGAAAGCGUGGGUAGCAAACAGG